rnacentral:lncRNA from 1 species
GUGGUAGGCUCUGGUGGGUAUGCUUGGGCUGUAAGGUUCUGACUCAGUAGGUCUGAUGAAGGUAGGCAGAGAAGGAACAGGAGAAUGCUGCAUCUGUGCAUUCCCCCAGUAGACUCUGAGAUGGGCAGGGCAAAUGGGCUCAGGAAGGGUCUCUAACCUGUAUUGUUCCAGAUCAGCAGGUCUGAAGAAGUUGGAUGAAGAGUGGCAGAUGAAUUUGGCUCCAAGUUUUUAUUCUAUGAAACCACUCCUGGAUUUAUUGAUCCAGCUGACACCCAUGGGAUUAUCUUUGGCACAGGAGUGACAUCUUUCCUGAACAUUAUAGAAGGAAAAGAUUCAGUAUAGUAUUAAUGACAUAAAUGAUGGGGCCUCUAAAAUAUAUGACAAUUCUCAGCAAUGUCUCCAUUUGACUACCCAGAUACCACCUUGAACAACUCUGAAAACCUUGUUAGAUAUCCAAGCUGGAGGCCUGGACUGGACAAAAAGCAGAAGACCAG